AAUCUAGUUGAUCCUGCUAGCGGCUGCGGCUCUCUGAUUUGCACUUAGACAUGCAAGUCUUUUUGUUUCUUCGGAAGUGAAAGGCGAACUGCUCAGUAACACGUAGCUAACCUACCCUUAAGUCGAGGAUACUCUCGGGAAACUGAGGUUAAUACUCGAUAGGAGAUGUACCCUGGAAUGAUUCAUCUCUCAAAUUCGUGCUUAAGGAUGGGGCUGCGGCGGAUUAGGUUGUUGGCGGGGUAAAGGCCCACCAAGCCAAUGAUCCGUAAGGGCUCUUAGCGGAGAGGCCCUGAGAGGGAAUCUGAGACACUAUUCCCAGCCCUACGGGGUGCAGCAGUUAGGAAUUUUCUGCAAUGUACGAAAGUAUGACAGAUUGAGUCAGAGUGCUUUUCAUAUGAAAAGCUUUUGCCAAAUGUAAAAAGUUUGGCGAAUAAGGACUGGGUAAGACGAGUGCCAGCCGCCGCGGUAAUACUCGCGGUCCAAGUCGCAGCCAUCAUUAUUGGGUCUAAAACAUCCGUAGCUUGCUUAAUAAGUUUCUUGUGAAAUUCCAUGUCUCAAAUAUGGAGCGGGCAAGAAGUACUGUUAAGCUAGAGACUGGAAGACGUAAGAAGUACGUUUGGAGUAGCGGUAAAAUGUGUUAAUCCCAGACGGACUAACAACAGCGAAGGCAUCUUACGAGGACAGUUCUGACAGUAAGGGAUGAAGGCUAGGGGCGCAAAAGGGAUUAGAUACCCCUGUAGUCCUAGCAGUAAACACUGCACACUAAACAUUAGUACCUCCUCGAGAGGUGUUAGUGCUGAAGAGAAGUCGAAGAGUGUGCUACCUGGGAAGUAUAGUCGCAAGGCUGAAACUUAAAGGAAUUGGCGGGGAGACACUACAACGGGUGACGCGUGCGGUUCAAUUAGAUUCUACACCGUGAACCUCACCAGGAGCGACAGCAGGAUGAAGGUCAGUCUGAAGGGCUUACCUGACACGCUGAGAGGAGUUGCAUGGCCAACGUCAGCCUGUGCCGUGAGGUGACCUGUUAAAUCAGGUAACAGGCAAGACCCGCAUGUAUAUUUACUACGUGUACAAUAUACAGAUUGCCUUGGUAACGAGGAUGAAAGUGCGGGCUACGUUAGGUGAGUACAGCCUGAAUCCCCUGGGCAACACGCGCGCGUCAAUGGUGGAUACAACGGGACGCAACGCCGAAAGGCGAAGCUAAUCUCUUAAAGUCCAUCUCAGUUUAGAUCGAGGUUUGAAACUCAGCCUCGUGACACUGGAAUCCGUAGUAAUCGUUUGUUAGCAGCGAACGGUGAAUAAGUCACUGUCUCUUGCACACACUGCCCGUCAAACCAACCGAGUUAUGUUAUGGUGAAACCCUUCGGGGGAGAACCUUGAUGUGACAAGGUAGGUUAAGUCGUCACAAGGUAACUGUAGGGGAACCUGCAGUUGGAUUACCUCCU
rnacentral:rRNA from 1 species